rnacentral:tRNA from 3 species
GCGGACGUGGCGAAAUUGGUAGACGCAAGAGACUUAAAAUCUCUCGAGGAGACUCGUACGGGUUCGACCCCCGUCGUCCGCACCA